rnacentral:rRNA from 1 species
AGUGAACGCUGGCGGUAGGCCUAACACAUGCAAGUCGAACGGCAGCACAGUAAGAGCUUGCUCUUACGGGUGGCGAGUGGCGGACGGGUGAGGUAUACAUCGGAAUCUACUUUUUCGUGGGGGAUAACGUAGGGAAACUUACGCUAAUACCGCAUACGACCUAUGGGUGAAAGCAGGGGAUCUUCGGACCUUGCGCGAUUGAAUGAGCCGAUGUCGGAUUAGCUAGUUGGCGGGGUAAAGGCCCACCAAGGCGACGAUCCGUAGCUGGUCUGAGAGGAUGAUCAGCCACACUGGAACUGAGACACGGUCCAGACUCCUACGGGAGGCAGCAGUGGGGAAUAUUGGACAAUGGGCGCAAGCCUGAUCCAGCCAUACCGCGUGGGUGAAGAAGGCCUUCGGGUUGUAAAGCCCUUUUGUUGGGAAAGAAAAGCAGCAGGUUAAUACCCCGCUGUUCUGACGGUACCCAAAGAAUAAGCACCGGCUAACUUCGUG